UCCAGGAAAUUCAGCAACAAAAAGGGGCCUAAAUCUCACAUAAAAGUGAGGAUUGUGAGUAAAAUUUCAAGCUACGAAGUACUAAUCGAAGUCCGGGCAACGCAUAAUCACGAAUAUAAUUUUGUUUGGAGUUAGAGGAGCACGGGAACAAGAAAAUGUUGAAGAAUUUGCUACUUUCAUAAAAACAAGAUUUCGGGCGAAACGGGAAUUGAAUUCGGAAAGGCGUAAAGACCACAUAAGGUACAGACUACAGAUUUGCUGACCCACCUGCCUAGGACACCUAUUCUGCUAUUCUGGAGCGCUCUUUUGUCCAGAGCCUAUACUCUGGUACAGUCUGCUUCUGUUGGAUAUAUGUACGCUAUUCAGGGGUACGACGGGGCCCUGUCCCGUCUUAUGUUUCUGUUAUGUUCUGUAGAGGUCUGUAGACAUACAUGUGGGUUCUGUAUAUGUUUUGGGUUGCUAUGAUUUGUGAUAGCCUUAUCGGCUUCCAUGUGCUAUAUAUGUUCCUCUGUGACACUAGUAACGUCGACUGACUUUUAUAUUUAUAUAAUCUGCUAGUCUGCUGGUUUGGGUUAUUGGGUACGUUUGGGUGUCCAGCACGGACACUAGUCACGG